rnacentral:lncRNA from 10 species
CACAGAGCAGCUCUGGGCUGGGCGCUGAGUCAUGAGGCUGUGGUGCCUGCCAGGGGGCGAGGGUGGCAGAUGGCUUCAUGUGGGCUUCUGGGGCCAGCAUUGAACGCAAGGUGUCAGCAAGUCUCCUGCCAGAGGUCCUGACGGAGGGGCUGUUCCAGGCCAUGCUCCUGGCUUCCGGUGGUUGCCGGCAACCCUGUGCAUUCCCUGCUUGUAGAGAUGAGAAAAUGGAGGUACCAAAAAGUGGGCUCUGAACUGCAGAGCCUGGCUCCAGAGCCCUUGUAUUUGACUACUGGGAUCCACCGUUAUUCUCACAGCCGCGUUUCCCACAGGGCUGCUUUGUAUGGCCUCUUAGAAAAGUCCUGCCUGUCUCCACCAUCCAGACUAUGAUGUCCGUGAGGUCAGAGGAAAGGGAGAAUGUCUCACAUACAGAAAAUGCUUGAUCAACAUUGAUGGAAUCAUAAAUGGGCCUCAGCGGCACCUGUCCUGAGUCAGCAUCUCACAGAGGUUUUGCCAGCGCCAGCCACAUCUCCAGCAUGAAGGUGAUUGUCUGAGUGUGUCCAGUCCAGUUCCUGCCUUAAUAAAAAUCACUGCUGCAAGGGAGAGGGCUGCCAAGGCCCUGCCUCCCUCCAACCCCAUCCUAGCCUGAGUCUUAACCAUUCUUCCAAUCCAGUUCCACUUUGGGCCAGUGCUUAACCCAGGGUAGCACUUUUGAGCCUCGCAACUCUUGGGAGUGAGUUUUCAUCCUAACGUUCUCAGAUGAGGAAAUUGGGCCUCAAAGAGUCCACACAGGUGAGGCACCAUGGCUCAUGCCUAUAAUCCUAACACUUUGGGAGGCCAAGGCAGGAGGAAUGCUUGAGCCCAGGAGUUCAAGACCAGCCUGGGCAACAUGGUGACACCCUGUCUCUAUAAAAAAAUACAACAAUUAGGCAAACGUGGUGGCAUGCACCUGUCAUCCCAGCUACCUGGGAGGCUGAGGUGGGAGGAUUGCUUGAGCCCAGGAGGCUGAGGCUGCAGUGAGCCAUGAUCCUGCCAGUACACUCCAGCCUGGGUGACAGAACAAGACCCUGUCUCAAAAACAAAACAAAACAAAAACAAAAACAAAGCAUCCACACAACUAGCAGGUGAAAAACUGGGGUUCAAACUCAGGCCUAUAACACUAAGGGCUGGGCCUGUCCCCACCAAAUCAGUCUUUCCUCAGACAGGCUGAGGUGUCCUCUAUAGACCAAAUAUCUGGAGGUCAGAACACUGAGACACUAGUUAUGUAAAGGCAGGGUGUGAGUUGGUGAGCUCAUCGAGAAAAUGCUUCCUGGGCUGGGUGCAGUGGCUCACACCUGUAAUCCCAGCACUUUGGGAGGCUGAGGUGGACAGAUCACCUCAAGUCAGGAGUUCAAGACCAGCCUGGCCAACAUGCUGAAACUCUGUCUCUACUAAAAAAUACAAAAAUUUGCCAAGCGCAGUGGCACAUGCCUGUAAUACUAGCUCCUCGGGAGGCUGAGGCAGGAGAACCGCUUGAACCCAGGAGGCAGAGGUUGCAGUGAGCCAAGAUUGCACCACUGAACUCUAGCCUGGGUGACAGAGCAAAACUCUGUCUCAAAAAAAAAAAAAGAAAAGAGAAAAAAGAAAGAGAGAGAAAGAAAGAGAGAGAGAAAGAGAAAGAAA